GACGAACGCUGGCGGCGUGCCUAAUACAUGCAAGUAGAACGCACAGUUUAUACCGUAGCUUGCUACACCAUAGACUGUGAGUUGCGAACGGGUGAGUAACGCGUAGGUAACCUGCCUGGUAGCGGGGGAUAACUAUUGGAAACGAUAGCUAAUACCGCAUAAUAUUGAUUAUUGCAUGAUAAUUAAUUGAAAGGUGCAAUUGCACCACUACCAGAUGGACCUGCGGUGUAUUAGCUAGUAGGUGAGGUAACGGCUCACCUAGGCGACGAUACAUAGCCGACCUGAGAGGGUGAUCGGCCACACUGGGACUGAGACACGGCCCAGACUCCUACGGGAGGCAGCAGUAGGGAAUCUUCGGCAAUGGACGAAAGUCUGACCGAGCAACGCCGCGUGAGUGAAGAAGGUUUUCGGAUCGUAAAGCUCUGUUGUAAGAGAAGAACGGGUGUGAGAGUGGAAAGUUCACACUGUGACGGUAUCUUACCAGAAAGGGACGGCUAACUACGUG
rnacentral:rRNA from 1 species